UCGGACGUAGUGCACGGCGCACACCCGCGCUCCUUAGAGGUACAAUGACAAUGUGUGUAGGCGGGAGCUCUGGGUUCGAUUCCCAGCGUCUGAA